rnacentral:rRNA from 1 species
CACCUGACACUCAGGGACGAAAGCUAGGGGAACGAAGGGGAUUAGACACCCCAGUAGUCCUAGCUUUAGUCCGAUGGAUAUUAGGUCUAGCUCGUAUCGACCCGAUCUGUGCCGAAGCUAACGCGUUAAGUAUCCCGCUCUGGGGAGUACGCACGCAAGUCCUGUAAACCUCCAUAGGAAUAGUUCUGGGGGCCUGCACAUAGCGGUGCGAUGUAUGUGGUUUAAUUCGAUGCAACGCGAAGAACCUUACCAGGGCUAUCACAUGUCCGGAUACCCGCCUGAAAAUCUGGGAGUGACCUUCGGCGAUCCGCGAAUCACAGCCUGGUGCAUGGCGCUCGUCAGUAUCGUGAUGCGUGAAGAUCUUGGGUUAAGUCCCGUCAAUCGUAUGCGCAACCCUAGGUGCGUUAAUCUGCCAGCAGUCAGUUGUGCCACCUAUAGAGUGACGCUCGGUGACGAACCGGGAGGAAGGUGGGGAAUACGUCAAGUCAGCAUGCCCUAAGAGUUUGGGCCGACUCACGGUCACCAGAUGGUCGGAAUCAGCGGGUAAGGAACGUGCGAAGGCAAUGGCAUCGCUAGCAUAUUAGGCCUCAGAUCAGAU